CCAGUGUUUUUCUUUGUGUGUUGAUUCCAGUGAAGCAAUUCAGUUGGAGCUGAACGGGAUAAAGGACCUGAUACAUAAAAAUGUCUGAGAACUCAUCAUUCCAUGACCAACAAAGCUGUGGCGAUUCUAUAAAUCAAGAGUUAAUCGCGAUGGCGGCGUUCCUCCCAGUCAAGCCACUCUGAUGUUUUCACCUACAAUUCUGCCACAUUGCAAGUCCUUUAUGGAUUGUCAGCCAUCAUUUACAUAAGUGGCCAUUAUAGUGGUUUAUUAAAAAUGAAAUUAGUGGGGAAUCAUGCAGUAAACAUUCUUAUUCCUGGAGAAAUUAAUCUUCACAUCUUGACGUGUAUGGAUCAGUACCUGGCUGUUGUUCAUCCCAUCUUCUACAUAAGGUCAAAGCAGCCUAGUGGGAUCAGGAUCAGAAAUGCACUUAUUGUCUGUGUUUGGCUGAUUUGUUUUGGAUGGGUUGGACUAUUGUAUUUUAUGUACCCCAGUGUACCUUACGCUGCAUAUUUCAGUUUAUUGGCUUUCUCUGUAAUAAGUGUUUCUUUCUGCAGCAUCUCUGUUCUUUGUGUUUUGAUUCAACCAGGACCAGGUAAAGGGGGGGUGGAA